rnacentral:rRNA from 1 species
GACGAACGCUGGCGGCGCGCCUAACACAUGCAAGUCGAACGAGCGAGCGAGAGCUUGCUUUCUUGAGCGAGUGGCGAACGGGUGAGUAACGCGUGAGGAACCUGCCUCAAAGAGGGGGACAACAGUUGGAAACGACUGCUAAUACCGCAUAAGCCCACGGUGCCGCAUGGCACCGAGGGAAAAGGAGCAAUCCGCUUUGAGAUGGCCUCGCGUCCGAUUAGCUAGUUGGUGAGGUAACGGCCCACCAAGGCGACGAUCGGUAGCCGGACUGAGAGGUUGAACGGCCACAUUGGGACUGAGACACGGCCCAGACUCCUACGGGAGGCAGCAGUGGGGAAUAUUGCACAAUGGGGGAAACCCUGAUGCAGCGACGCCGCGUGGAGGAAGAAGGUCUUCGGAUUGUAAACUCCUGUUGUUGGGGAAGAUAAUGACGGUACCCAACAAGGAAGUGACGGCUAACUACGUG